GGCGAACUGUCCUCCUCCUCUCUCCUGGGUAGGACAGCAGGCUCCCAGACCUGGGAAAACCUCCAGGUGAGAACCUCUGUUCUGUAGGAGAGGCGUCAGCUCUAAGCCAGGCCUCCGGGGUCGUCACAGGGACCGGAGAUCCCAAGGGCCGUGUGUCCAGUGACGUUCCGGGUGGGAGGCCAGCCUCUGGAGAGCUCAAAGGAAGGACUGUGUUUUUAGGGAAGAAGACAGGGCAAGAGUCACCUCCCUCUCCUUGAUGAGCGAGUGGCUCCAAAAUGGCCUCUCUCCAAUCUGUCUCUGCCAGGACAGGACACUCAGGGUCAACAGGGCUGACGUCAGUCCCUGUCGCCCCCACUCCUCACCAUCUGAGCUGCCUGGUCUCAGCACAGCUUGUGUGUGGUUGAGAUAGCACGGGGAGGAGACUUCCCGAAUCCUAGAUUUGACCACAGUGAGCAGAAAGCCUUUUUUUCUCCUGGAGAAUGGUGGGGUCAGCCUGCUGGUGGACGGGAAGGCUGACCCUGAGAUAUGUGGGGUUUGAAGAAGCAGGAUGAUCUCGCAGGAGGGGGUUGGGUUUAAUCAGGCUCCCACUGGGCCCUGAGGCCCUUGUGACAAAGAAAAGAGCCAGUCUUGUUCUCGAGAUGGGGUCAUGUUUGUGCGAGGCCCGGAGACGGAGGGGGUGGGCGGUGGGCAAGAAGGUGGCCGUUUCCCCCUCUUUGCUGGCGUCGAAUGUGGUGUACUGAAAAGAAAACCUGUGGGAGGUAGGCUGAAAAGACCUGGUGUCGAGUCCCAGCUCUGCCACAGACUGACCGCCAGAGGUGGACUCCAUGUUCUUAUCUGUGAAAGGGGGUGUUGAAAAAUGUGCUCCCUGAAAGGUUACCAAGCUGUGAGCCCUGGACGUGAGAGGGUGUAUUCAGUUGUGAUGCGUUAGCGGCCAGGACCGAUGUCACCAACAAGCUUGGUGGUGGUGGCUCACCCCUGGGGGGAGAGGGGGAGGAGGGGCAGCCCAGUGGGAUUUUGCAUCAUUCCUUCCCCACUAGGAGGAGCACUUGGCACUUGCAGAGGCUGGAUUUUCUGCGUGGCAGGAUGAGAGGUGGAGUGGAACCCGCUGCCCUGCUCCCACCUCCCCCUCCCCCCCACCUCCUCCCGUCCCUCUCCCCCCUCUCCCCCCUCUCCCAGGCUUCCCUCAGGGCAAACAUCCCAGCAGGACCUUCCAUCUCCCUCUGACCGCCCUCCCUCGGCCUUGGCAGCCUUUCAGAGACCGAGGAGGAGGCCAGGCUGCCAGGAAGGGUGGGGCUGCCUGGCAAGGCCCAGCCGCAGUGUGACCCCGCCAGUCCCGGAAACGCUCCAAACCUUGGACCUCAGCGGACAUCCGGCGACUCAGCGGCAGGGCCUGUCAGGGGGACGGAGCGCGUGUGGGAUUCCUCUGAGGUCAGGUUUGCUGGAGACUUCUAAGAGGAGAAAGGAAGAGCCGUAUUUUAGCCAAUUCUGGAGUCAGAGGGCUCUGGGAUGUGUUCACAGUGUGAACAGAAGUACUGGGACGGCCUCCAAAAAGGCUUCUCGCAGGGUUGUGCAUGUAUCCUAGAUUUCUUUUUUUUUUUAUUAAUUUUUUUUAAUGUUUAGUUAUUUAUUUUGAGAGACAGAGACAGAGCAUGAGCAGGGAAGGAGCAGAGAGAGAGACACAGAAUCCGAAACAGGCUCCAGGCUCCGAGCUAUCAGCACAGAGCCCGACGCGGGGCUCGAACUCACAAACCGUGAGAUCAUGACCUGAGCCGACGCCGGACGCUCAACCGACUGAGCCACCCAGGCGCCCCCUAGAUUUCUUAAUUAAAAAAAAAAAAAACAUAAGUCAAUAGUGCUUUCUGAAGAGUGCUCGCCACGUACUAGGCGCUUGCUAAACCUGUUACCCACAUGAAUCCUUCAACAACUCGAUGAGACGAGAGUAUUGUUAUGCCCAAUUUAUAAAUGAAGACACCAAGGGUCAGGGGCAAGUGUCAUCUGCUCAAGGUCACAGAAAUACUAAUUGCUGGAGUCUGGAUUGAAACCCAGGCGGGGCUGGCUGAUUUCAGACCCCAGGUUCUUCACUUUCUUAGAAGGCAGAAACCACAGUCUCCUUGUCUCUAUAGAAUGCCUGGUACCUGGAAGACAUUCAGUAAAGAUAGGCUGAUCAGGGCCUGAUGUAUUUUGGAGGGUCUGAUUCUGUCCCAUUAUAGACUGAUGAAAUAACGUAAAAUAUGGGAAAGUACUUAGCUCAGAGGCAGGUGUGCGUGUAGUAGGUCCACAUAAAUCCGAAGGUGAGGCCCGGCUUUCCUCCUUUCUACGUGAUGUAUCUGUGCUUGUGAAUAGUAUUUUCAAAGAACACAGCACCCCCUGGGGUCCCUGCCCCGGCAAGGCUGUGAAAUGACCCUGUUAUAUCCCCUUGGCCAGAGGGAGUAAAGGGCCAUGCUGGUGGGGUGGGGGAGGGAAGGAUGAGUCUGUGACUCUCUUCUGCGUCCCGCAUGCCGCAGGUUUGGGAGAAAAGACACUCGCUCUGUUUGCUGACGUCUCUAAGAGAGCCCUCCUCUUCCAGCUCCACAGAGACGGUGUGGACCCGGAAGCCUGGACCACUCAGAGCCCCGAGAGGCUGAGUCACACCCACAUGUGUGAGAAACACCGACAGUGUCACAGCAUCGAAGGAUGCUGGAGCAGGUGUGGUCUUGUUGGAAGGAAAAGGGUCUGCGGUGGGACAGCUGGGCCAACCCCGGGGUCCCCUGGUUCCCAUGCACACCCACGGGGCACUUGGCCUGCCUCCUUAUUUCCAGGCAACUGCACACCUGCUUCUCCCUCUGGGAGCCUCCCGGCCCGCCUGCCUUCUUGGCUUUCGUUAAAGUGGUUGAGGUAGAACUGUCCCAUAAUUCCGUGUGUUUAACCCUCUCUGGGCUGGGUCUCAACAGACCCGCACUGACAUGAAAUUGGUCACAGUCCAGGCAGAAAAUGUAACCCAUUCCAGAAAUCUCCGCGGUUAUGGUUAUGAAGGCACUGGAGGAGAUGAGAGGGCAGACAAGGGUGAAAGGCAGUCUUGAGAGUAGCAACCACUGGAAAAUGCUACCAUUCUUGGGUGGAAAGUCACAGAGAGGAGAUGAUGUUUCCAGAACCGGAGAGACUGGAAUCCUGGUGGAGGUUUCCUGGCAGGAACUGGGACCGCAGAGGUGACCUGCCAGGGUAGAACGACUCUGGUUUCUACCCUCCUGGCUGUGGCUGUUGGGACCUUGGCAAAUGUGGCCUGCAGGGAUCAGCCUCUUAUGGGAGGGAGCAGGGUGCAGGAGGGGAGGACCCGGAUCUGAGGGCAAACAAGCAAACGACCUGCCUAAUCUCCAGCUAGUCAGACCUUUGAAAGAGACUGCAUCCCUCCAAGGGGCGAUCGAGAGGGUUGGCCCUAAACUUGCCUCUGGAAAUUGUCCCAGAUCCUCUAUUGGUUACUGCAAUUAGUGGUAAUGCCUAAGCAUUAUCCCUGCUGGGACUGAGGCAGAGAAAGAACCAUUUUUUCAAGCAGAUCUGCUUCUUGGGUAUUUUUUGAAGGCUAUGGGAACCUCUGGUUCUUGACCAAGCACCAGGUUUGACGAUAAAAUCAGUCUCGAGGGACGGAAAGAUCUAUGGCAGACACUCGGGCAGACAUACAUGCAUGUUAGGAGGGACACUGGACUCAGGGUCAGGAGACCUGAGGAUAUGUCUUGGCUCAGACAAGUUGCUUACCAUCUUUGAGCUUCAGGCUGCACAUCUUUCAAAUGGGGACUCUGUGUUUGCCAGGGUUCUGUAGAAGUAAGCAACAGAAUGCACGCAAGGGGGGUUGUAGACGACAGAAUGUUCAGACAAAGUCUUGUGCCUGGGAAUGUACACGAUCACAAGAUGUUGCUCAGCUCUGUUUCGGGGUCGAUGUAUCCCUUUGGAGUGGACACCUAUAACCCUUGUCUUGUAACCACAGAAUCGAAAACAGCUGGAUUCCAGGCAGCUUGUCCAAACCUUCUCCUGAAGGAGGAACCUGUUCUCCAAAGUUCUCAAAGAUGAUCCUUCCCACCCUCCCUUCCACAAAUAUUUGGAGCACCCACGCUUUGUCAGGCACUGCGCUGAUCCUGGGGCAGUAAUGGAGACAGAUAUGGGCCUCGUCCUCACCGAGCUGACAGUCUAGCACUUGAAAGUCUCUGCAAUUUCUGUUGAAUACCUCCAGUAACAGGAUGCUCGCCACCUUACAGGACGGCCUCUUUUUUUUUUUUUUUUCCCCCGGUCAGUUUUUCCUUAUUUAAACUGUAAUGCUUGUUCUGACCUCUGGGGCUAUACAAAACAAGUCUAACCCCAUUUCCUAUGUCAGUGCCCUUAGAACGUGG
rnacentral:lncRNA from 1 species